rnacentral:rRNA from 1 species
UGGGGAAUAUUGCACAAUGGGGCGCAAGCCUGAUGCAGCCAUGCCGCGUGUAUGAAGAAGGCCUUGGGUUGUAAAGUACUUUCAGCGAGGAGGAAGGUGUUGUGGUUAAUAACCGCAGCAAUUGACGUUACUCGCAGAAGAAGCACCGGCUAACUCCGUGCCAG